GGGUUGUGAGGUUAAGCGACUAAGCGUACACGGUGGAUGCCCUGGCAGUCAGAGGCGAUGAAGGACGUGCUAAUCUGCGAUAAGCGUCGGUAAGGUGAUAUGAACCGUUAUAACCGGCGAUUUCCGAAUGGGGAAACCCAGUGUGUUUCGACACACUAUCAUUAACUGAAUCCAUAGGUUAAUGAGGCGAACCGGGGGAACUGAAACAUCUAAGUACCCCGAGGAAAAGAAAUCAACCGAGAUUCCCCCAGUAGCGGCGAGCGAACGGGGAGCAGCCCAGAGCCUGAAUCAGUGUGUGUGUUAGUGGAAGCGUCUGGAAAGGCGCGCGAUACAGGGUGACAGCCCCGUACACAAAAAUGCACAUGCUGUGAGCUCGAUGAGUAGGGCGGGACACGUGGUAUCCUGUCUGAAUAUGGGGGGACCAUCCUCCAAGGCUAAAUACUCCUGACUGACCGAUAGUGAACCAGUACCGUGAGGGAAAGGCGAAAAGAACCCCGGCGAGGGGAGUGAAAAAGAACCUGAAACCGUGUACGUACAAGCAGUGGGAGCACGCUUAGGCGUGUGACUGCGUACCUUUUGUAUAAUGGGUCAGCGACUUAUAUUCUGUAGCAAGGUUAACCGAAUAGGGGAGCCGAAGGGAAACCGAGUCUUAACUGGGCGUUAAGUUGCAGGGUAUAGACCCGAAACCCGGUGAUCUAGCCAUGGGCAGGUUGAAGGUUGGGUAACACUAACUGGAGGACCGAACCGACUAAUGUUGAAAAAUUAGCGGAUGACUUGUGGCUGGGGGUGAAAGGCCAAUCAAACCGGGAGAUAGCUGGUUCUCCCCGAAAGCUAUUUAGGUAGCGCCUCGUGAAUUCAUCUCCGGGGGUAGAGCACUGUUUCGGCAAGGGGGUCAUCCCGACUUACCAACCCGAUGCAAACUGCGAAUACCGGAGAAUGUUAUCACGGGAGACACACGGCGGGUGCUAACGUCCGUCGUGAAGAGGGAAACAACCCAGACCGCCAGCUAAGGUCCCAAAGUCAUGGUUAAGUGGGAAACGAUGUGGGAAGGCCCAGACAGCCAGGAUGUUGGCUUAGAAGCAGCCAUCAUUUAAAGAAAGCGUAAUAGCUCACUGGUCGAGUCGGCCUGCGCGGAAGAUGUAACGGGGCUAAACCAUGCACCGAAGCUGCGGCAGCGACGCUUAUGCGUUGUUGGGUAGGGGAGCGUUCUGUAAGCCUGCGAAGGUGUGCUGUGAGGCAUGCUGGAGGUAUCAGAAGUGCGAAUGCUGACAUAAGUAACGAUAAAGCGGGUGAAAAGCCCGCUCGCCGGAAGACCAAGGGUUCCUGUCCAACGUUGAUCGGGGCAGGGUGAGUCGACCCCUAAGGCGAGGCCGAAAGGCGUAGUCGAUGGGAAACAGGUUAAUAUUCCUGUACUUGGUGUUACUGCGAAGGGGGGACGGAGAAGGCUAUGUUGGCCGGGCGACGGUUGUCCCGGUUUAAGCGUGUAGGCUGGUUUUCCAGGCAAAUCCGGAAAAUCAAGGCUGAGGCGUGAUGACGAGGCACUACGGUGCUGAAGCAACAAAUGCCCUGCUUCCAGGAAAAGCCUCUAAGCAUCAGGUAACAUCAAAUCGUACCCCAAACCGACACAGGUGGUCAGGUAGAGAAUACCAAGGCGCUUGAGAGAACUCGGGUGAAGGAACUAGGCAAAAUGGUGCCGUAACUUCGGGAGAAGGCACGCUGAUAUGUAGGUGAGGUCCCUCGCGGAUGGAGCUGAAAUCAGUCGAAGAUACCAGCUGGCUGCAACUGUUUAUUAAAAACACAGCACUGUGCAAACACGAAAGUGGACGUAUACGGUGUGACGCCUGCCCGGUGCCGGAAGGUUAAUUGAUGGGGUUAGCGCAAGCGAAGCUCUUGAUCGAAGCCCCGGUAAACGGCGGCCGUAACUAUAACGGUCCUAAGGUAGCGAAAUUCCUUGUCGGGUAAGUUCCGACCUGCACGAAUGGCGUAAUGAUGGCCAGGCUGUCUCCACCCGAGACUCAGUGAAAUUGAACUCGCUGUGAAGAUGCAGUGUACCCGCGGCAAGACGGAAAGACCCCGUGAACCUUUACUAUAGCUUGACACUGAACAUUGAGCCUUGAUGUGUAGGAUAGGUGGGAGGCUUAGAAGUGUGGACGCCAGUCUGCAUGGAGCCGACCUUGAAAUACCACCCUUUAAUGUUUGAUGUUCUAACGUUGACCCGUAAUCCGGGUUGCGGACAGUGUCUGGUGGGUAGUUUGACUGGGGCGGUCUCCUCCUAAAGAGUAACGGAGGAGCACGAAGGUUGGCUAAUCCUGGUCGGACAUCAGGAGGUUAGUGCAAUGGCAUAAGCCAGCUUGACUGCGAGCGUGACGGCGCGAGCAGGUGCGAAAGCAGGUCAUAGUGAUCCGGUGGUUCUGAAUGGAAGGGCCAUCGCUCAACGGAUAAAAGGUACUCCGGGGAUAACAGGCUGAUACCGCCCAAGAGUUCAUAUCGACGGCGGUGUUUGGCACCUCGAUGUCGGCUCAUCACAUCCUGGGGCUGAAGUAGGUCCCAAGGGUAUGGCUGUUCGCCAUUUAAAGUGGUACGCGAGCUGGGUUUAGAACGUCGUGAGACAGUUCGGUCCCUAUCUGCCGUGGGCGCUGGAGAACUGAGGGGGGCUGCUCCUAGUACGAGAGGACCGGAGUGGACGCAUCACUGGUGUUCGGGUUGUCAUGCCAAUGGCACUGCCCGGUAGCUAAAUGCGGAAGAGAUAAGUGCUGAAAGCAUCUAAGCACGAAACUUGCCCCGAGAUGAGUUCUCCCUGACCCUUUAAGGGUCCUGAAGGAACGUUGAAGACGACGACGUUGAUAGGCCGGGUGUGUAAGCGCAGCGAUGCGUUGAGCUAACCGGUACUAAUGAACCGUGAGGCUUAACCUUACAACGCCGAAGCUGUU
rnacentral:rRNA from 1 species